rnacentral:rRNA from 1 species
CGCAAGCCUGACGGAGCAAUACCGCGUGAGGGAGGAAGGCCUUUGGGUUGUAAACCUCUUUUCUUAAGGAAGAAGAUCUGACGGUACUUAAGGAAUCAGCAUCGGCUAACUCCGUGCCAGCAGCCGCGGUAAUACGGAGGAUGCAAGCGUUAUCCGGAAUUAUUGGGCGUAAAGCGUCCGCAGGCGGCAUUAUAAGUCUGCUGUCAAAGACCGCAGCUCAACUGCGGAAAGGCAGUGGAAACUGUAAAGCUAGAGUACGGUAGGGGUAGAGGGAAUUCCCAGUGUAGCGGUGAAAUGCGUAGAUAUUGGGAAGAACACCAGUGGCGAAAGCGCUCUACUGGGCCGUAACUGACGCUCAGGGACGAAAGCUAGGGGAGCG